rnacentral:rRNA from 1 species
AUGGUGGGCUUCUUAUUGUACCUCGCAAGCUUGGCCGACUCGCCGGCGAGCUUCUCGAAGAUGUCGUUGAUGAAGGAGUUCAUGAUGGACAUGGCCUUGGAGGAGAUGCCGAUGUCCGGGUGCACCUGCUUCAGCACCUUGAAGAUGUAG